rnacentral:misc_RNA from 1 species
UUGAAUACUUUGAACGCACAUUGCAGCGUCGAUCAAAGAUGUCGACGCUACGCCUGUCUGAGGGUCGUUAAGGAUAAUAGGGAUUGCGCCGCUCAGGCUACAGGUUGAGGUUGGUGGCAAGCACCGGACAAACCUGCAUCCGCGCGCGAGCGAGCGUGACGCCGCAGCUCCGUUGCCAGCGAGCCGCGAUGGCAACUGGUAGGCGGAGCAGCGGAGAGCGGCCAAGUCAGCGUAGGGCGAAGACUACCCGACUUGGCUACCGGCCGCGCCGUCGGCGUACAGCAGUUGAGCAGGGAGCGGUGACCGCACGCGCUCGUAGCAGCAAGUGUUCGUCGUCGUUGCACGGCAGCAGCGGCAGCAGCAGUCGACGACGACGACGACGACGAUACCGUUCGCCUUGCUGCGGCGGCGGCGGCGGGCACCGCUCGACCGACGACGGCGGCAAACGUUGCUGACACACUGCUACCGGUCAGGCGAGCUGCCGGUAGCGGCGUCUUUGCCGUUCGUCAACUAGCGGUUCGCCGCGUGGCUCCACCCGUACGUCUCCUCGCUGUUGACCUCAGAUCAGACGAGGCUACCCGCCUAACUUAAGCAUAUCGUUAAGCGGAGGA